AUGCAGGUGCCACAAGUGACGGAAGAAGCUGCUCUUGCUGUCACGAGUCUCUACCCCACCCUUCUCUCGCUUGCUAAGGCGUACACCAUGCUUGAUGGCGAUAAGCGUGCCCAGGAGGAGAUGCUGAAGAACAAGAGCGGCAUGGUCAACGCGGGAGCUAGCAAGAACAUCUUCAAGCUCAUCUGGGCGGAAGGAUGA
rnacentral:rRNA from 1 species